AGAGUUUGAUCCUGGCUCAGGAUGAACGCUGGCGGCAUGCCUAACACAUGCAAGUCGAUCGGUAAGGCUCUUCGGAGUACACGAGAGGCGGACGGCUGAGUAACGCGUAGGAACACACCCUGCAGUGAGGGAUAAGACACCGAAAGGUGUUCUAAUACCGCAUACGGUCUUCGGAUUAAAGCAUUUAUGCGCUGAAGGAGUGGCCUGCGUCAUAUUAGAUAGUUGGUGAGGUAAUGGCUUACCAAGUCGAUGAUGUGUAGCUGGUCUGAGAGGAUGAUCAGCCAGACUGGAACUGAGACACGGUCCAGACUCCUACGGGAGGCAGCAGUGAGGAAUAUUUCACAAUGAGCGAAAGCUUGAUGGAGCAAUGCCGCGUGCAGGAUGAAGGCCCUCGGGUUGUAAACUGCUUUUAUAAGAGAAGAUUAUGACGGUAACUUAUGAAUAAGGGACGGCUAACUACGUGCCAGCAGCUGCGGUCAUACGUAGGUCCCGAGCGUUAUCCGGAGUGACUGGGCGUAAAGAGUUGCGUAGGCGGUCAAGUUAGCGAGCGAUGAAAACUAUCGGCUCAACCGAUAGCUUGUUGUUCGAACUGCUUGACUCGAGAGUAUCAGAGGUCGCUGGAAUUCCUAGUGUAGCAGUGAAAUGCGUAGAUAUUAGGAAGAACACCGAUGGCGUAGGCAGGCGACUGGGAUAUUUCUGACGCUAAGGCACGAAAGCGUGGGUAGCGAACCGGAUUAGAUACCCGGGUAGUCCACGCCGUAAACGAUGGAUGCUAAUUGUUUGAGGUAUCGACCCCUCGAGUAAUAAAGCUAACGCGUUAAGCAUCCCGCCUGUGGAGUACGGCCGCAAGGCUAAAACAUAAAGGAAUUGACGGGGAC
rnacentral:rRNA from 1 species